rnacentral:lncRNA from 1 species
GUAGAUACCAAAAUCAUUUAGAUAAAGUUAUUUUGCAAGCUAUUUUUAAACUAGCUAGCUUGAUUCUGUAUGGAGCCAUAGCUAGCUAGCUAGCAUAAUCAUUAGAAAAUGAUUCACCUGCGAAGACCUAGCAACUGACAUUAAUGCCAUGAUUUAUUGAUCACCCAGUUAGAUCUGGAGUUUUAGUAGUAGCACGACUGAAGCUGCAAUCCACUCCCAGUUAAGCGGGGUCCGUUCAGGCCUCCGUCAGCUCCACAAUGCCUUGGGGGAUGUGAUGGACAUCCAGAACUCCCUGCCCGGUAGAAGUCAGCAAUGACUGGAGGCAAAACAUUAACACCAUUGAGAACCUGAAGUACGUAAAAUAUGCUGGGACGCAACAUCAGCGGAGGCUCCUCAGAAGAGGAAGACAAUACUGCUUGGUGACCUACAGAUUAUUUUUGGAGAUGGUUAUCGGUGCGGAGAAGCUAGGCACAAGACACUGAAUUCCCUGAAAACAUUUCCAGCGCCUACUUCAGUCCAAGUCAAGCACUGGUCUAACUGAAUGUGGAUGUUGUGUUGGCUGAAUGUUCCAGGCACGCUCCAGAAUGUUCUUCUGCUGGUGAACCUUGUCUUGUGUUGGGCAAUGGCAGCUGGUCUGGCAGAAGUUCAUGAGCUCCAUGACCUUGGACUCAUAGACUUUGGCUCUUGCCAGCCCCAUGCAGUCAACCCCAUGCAGUCUUUUCCUCUUCCGAGUCAGAUGAUGUUGAGCUUGAGUUUUUUCCCGGAUGAAAGAUUUCAUCCAAUGGGUCUACAGAAUCUGUACUUCUAAAGCAGAAGCACCAGGAUUAGUCUGUAGGACAUACACUAGUCAGUGAUUAGGCAAUAUUUUACUACUUUGUCCCCAUGAAUACACACUCCGACAAGCUACUAUCUCCACCCUUCACCCUUGUGUCAAUAGAUCAUGCAUACUAACCUUCACACACAGUACCCACUUCCAACAGACACCAGUCACCCACACCAUCCCCUCUUCACGAAGAACUAUGCUUUUCUCCGAUUUACACUUCAAGCUUUGCAUAAACAAUCAAUUAAUGCUGCAAUAUGUAACUUUUUGGGUGACUCACCAAAUUCACAUAAUUUGUUUUAACUAGGCAAGUCAGUUAAGAACAAAAUCAAAUUUGUAAUGAUGGCCAACAGUGGGUUAACUGCCUUGUUCAGGGGCAGAACGACAGAUUUCUAUCUUGUCAGCUUGGGGAUUCGAUCCAGCAACCUAUCAAUUACUGGCCCAAUUCUCUAACCACUAGGCUACCUGCCACCCCGAAAAUGUGAGUUAUAGAUCUGUCAUUCUCAUUGAAAGCAAGUCUAACAAGCGGUAGAUAAACUCUGCAGAAAAAGAAACGUCCUCUCACUGUCAACUGCGUUUAUUUUCAGCAAACUUAACAUGUGUAAAUAUUUGUAAGGACAUAACAAGAUUCAACAACUGAGACGUAAACUGAACAAGUUCCACAGACAUGUGACUAACAGAAAUUGAAUAAUGCAUUUCCACCAGAGCUGUUGCCAGAGAAUUUAAUGUUCAUUUCUCUACCAUAAGUCACCUCCAACGUCGUUUUAGACAAUUUGUCAGUAUGUCCAACUGGCCUCACAACCGCAGACCACGUAUAACCAAGGCAGCCCAGGACUUCCACAUCCGGCUUCUUCACCUGUGGGAUCAUCUGACCAGCCACCCAGACAGCUGAUGAGUCUGAAGAGUAUUUCUGUCUGUAAUAAAGCGCAUUUGUGGGGAAAAAUGUAUUCUGUUUGCCUGGGCAAUGUCCCCCUUUGAAAUCUCAAGAUUAUGGCUUAAUGAAUUUAUUUCAAUUGACUGAUUUCGUUAUAUAAACUGUAACUCGUUGAAAUUGUUGCGUUAGCUUGCAUUAGCUUGCAUUAGCUUGCAAAGGUACAAAUCACAUCGCCAGAUAGCAGCUGGCUAAUUACAUUGAUUUGCUUUGGAAUGUCUAGCCAGUGUAUCAUGAAAUAUAGCUAGAUUUUUGUUUAGAUAAACAAAUGUAGUUCGUUAGGUAGCUAGGUUAGCUAUGUUCCUUCUCCUUGACACAUUAGUAAGGUAACAGAUGAAAUGAUACCCCAACAGGCUGUGCUUGCUUCUAGUUUGCACAUCAAGGUACUGAGCACCCACCAUGACUAAACUUUACAGUUGUUAUCGACAUACAAAGAAAAAGAAAAAGUUAUAUUAUAUGAAUGAGUGGCUGUCCUGUAAGUAACAUUAGCCACCUCAACAGGGGAGGUACUUCGUCCUUAAAUUGCUAUGAAUUCUGGAUAUUGUUGUUUGGUUACAACCAGGAAACACUUUUAUGGUUACUACAUGAUUCCAUACAGUAUGUGUUAUUUCAUAGU